rnacentral:misc_RNA from 1 species
GGUGUAGAUCCGAGUAUUAGAGCAGAGGUUUGGCCAUUCCUUCUUGGAGUCUAUGACCUGAACAGUUCCAAAGAAGAAAGAGAUACUAUAAGGACUCAGAAAAGAAAGGAAUAUGAGAAACUCCGCAGACAGUGCCGCCGGCUCCUGAAACAUAGCAAUGAGAGCUUCAAGUUGAACGAGAGUAGCAAACCAAGCAUCAAUAUAGACAGCGGAAGUCUUGUUCAAUAUACAGAUUCUUCUAGUUUUGAGGAUGUGGUUAGUGCCAGGGAAUCCCUUUCCAGUGAGGAAAGGAGUCCAGAUGUUGAGUACUCUGAUGAUCCAUGUAUUACACUGUUGGAAGGUGAUGAUAGUUCAAGACAAAAAACAACAAACACUGAUGCAUCUGCACUAAACACUGAAUCAUCUGACUCAGACUCCUCUGAAGACCCUGAAGCUGUUAUACAGGCUUCCUCUUCUUCAGAAGGCCAGGAAAAGAAUGAACGUGAUGAGCCUUCCAAAGAGUUUAUUUCUCCUUCAAGGACAGAACUCCACUUAAGUGCACCUGCUGCUGAAAAUUUUGCUAC